GACAGAGGGUGCAAACGUGUUCGGAAUUACUGGGCGUAAAGCGUGUGUAGGCGGUUUGCUAAGUCGGGUGUGAAAGCCCCGGGCUCAACCCGGGAAGUGCACUCGAAACUGGCAGGCUAGAGUACUGGAGAGGUUGGUGGAAUUCUCGGUGUAGCGGUGGAAUGCGUAGAGAUCCGGAAGAACACCGGUGGCGAAAGCGGCUCUCUGGAACGGUACUG
rnacentral:rRNA from 1 species